UACGGGGGGGGUAAGCGUUGUUCGGAAUUACUGGGCGUAAAGGGCUCGUAGGCGGCCAACUAAGUCGGACGUGAAAUCCCUCAGCUUAACUGGGGAACUGCGUCCGAUACUGGAUGGCUUGGAUUUGGGAGAGGGAUGCGGAAUUCCAGGUGUAGCGGUGAAAUGCGUAGAUAUCUGGAGGGACACCGGUGGCGAAGGCGGCAUCCUGGACCAAUAUUGACGCUGAGGAGCGAAAGCCAGGGGAGCAAACGGG
rnacentral:rRNA from 1 species